UGAAACCGUUCGGGGGUAAACGGACAGAGCCCGUGAAUCCGGACGGCGGAAUUCAGAAUUGCGGGGUGCGCCUCGCGCGUGCACCGUGGUUUGAUAUUUCCGUCGUCGCGCGGACGUCGCGACCUGUUCGACGUCGGUCCUUGUUCGGAGGAACCGCGACCGAGUUCGCUGCCCGGGUCGUUUCGGCGGCUCGUGGCGGCGAAGGUGUGCGGACUUCUGGCCGACUCGUCGGACAGUAAGCGUAGCGGCUGGCGGCGUCGUUACCUCGUGUACGCGGCGUCGCUGCCGGUCGGCGACGAUUUCUUCGGGCCUCUUUCCGACC
rnacentral:rRNA from 1 species